UACGGAGGGGGCUAGCGUUGUUCGGAAUUACUGGGCGUAAAGAGCUCGUAAGUGGUUUGUCGCGUUGUCCGUGAAAACUCACAACUCAAUUGUGGGCGUGCGGGCGAUACGGGCAGACUGGAGUACUGCAGGGGAGACUGGAAUUCCUGGUGUAGCGGUGGAAUGCGCAGAUAUCAGGAGGAACACCGGUGGCGAAGGCGGGUCUCUGGGCCGAUACUGACGCUGAGGAGCGAAAGCGUGGGGAGCGAACAGG
rnacentral:rRNA from 1 species